AUUGAACGCUGGCGGCAUGCCUAACACAUGCAAGUCGAACGGCAGCGCGGUCUUCGGUCUGUCGGAGAGGGGCGAACGGGUGAGUAAGGCAUGGGAACGUGCCCAGUUGCGGUGGAUAGCCCGGUGACAGCGGGAUUCAUACCGCAAUACACCAUACGGCGUACGGGUGGGACCAAAAGACCUUGCGACCUUGGACGGGUGAAUGAGCCGAUGUCGGAUUAGCUAGUUGGUGGGGUAAAGGCGCACCAAGGCGACGAUCCGUAGCUGGUCUGAGAGGACGACCAGCCACACUGGGACUGAGACACGGCCCAGACUCCUACGGGAGGCAGCAGUGGGGAAUUUUGGACAAUGGGCGCAAGCCUGAUCCAGCCAUGCCGCGUGCGGGAAGAAGGCCUUCGGGUUGUAAACCGCUUUUGUUCGGGAAGAAAACCUCUGGGCUAAUACCCCGGGGGGAUGACGGUACCGGAAGAAUAAGCACCGGCUAACUACGUG
rnacentral:rRNA from 1 species